AGGGCUUUAGCUUAAUUAAAGUGUCUGCUUUGCAUGCAGGAGAUGGGGGUUAGUGUCCCAUAAGUCUUA
rnacentral:tRNA from 1 species